AUUGAACGCUGGCGGCAGGCCUAACACAUGCAAGUCGAACGAGUGGCGGACGGGUGAGUUAUGACUGGGAAAAUGCGCGAUGGAGGGGGAUAAAUAAUGGAAACGGUAGCUAAUACCGCAUACCAGCGGAUGUGCCCAGAGUGGAUUAGCUAGUAGGUGGGGUAACGGCGCACCGAGGCGACGAUCCCGAGCUGGUCUGAGAGGAUGACCAGCCACACUUGAACGGAGACACGGUCCAGACUCCUACGGGAGGAAGCAGUGGGGAAUAUUGCACAAUGGGCGAAAGCCUGAUUCAGCCAUGCCGCGUGUAUGAAGAAGGCCUUCGGGUUGUAAAGUACUUUCAGCGAGGAGGCGUUACUCGCAGAAGAAGCACCGGCUAACUCCGUGCCAGCAGCCGCGGUAAUAC
rnacentral:rRNA from 1 species